GGAGUGUUGGCGGGGCUUCGUACGUGCAUACAUUUUUUCGUUCUAUCUCCGGAAUAAAAGAAUUUAGAAAUGAGCAAAUAAUGAAGAUUUAGUUAUUAUCUAUAGCAUUCAUUUUUCGAUAUUGGUGCUCGUAUGUGACAAAUAGUGUUUAUCGUUCUGGGCAACAUAGUAAUUAUUUUCGACUUCGGAGUUCUUUUGUAAAAUUUCAACAGUAAUAAUUUGUUGAAUUCUUAAAAUAGAUAGAACUUGUAGUGGAUUAUUGAUUUGCAGUGAGAAUACAAAAUCGCAAUGGCCCAACAGAAUCCUAUAGUGCAGUCAGGAACGACAUCUUCUGAUGCAAGUGCAGGUCUUGGUAACUUGCAAUCAGUAGGUCCUAGUAAUUCAACACCCUCUGUCACAACUACUUUACAAAGUGGUAGUACCGUUCAAGUACCUCAACCACAAGUGCAAAUGCAACAAUCCCAAUAUGUACCACAAACAACAAAAGGUCAACCGGUACAAUCAUCUAGUGCAAGCUCAUCUACAGACUUUCCACAGUUCCUCACAAAAACCCGUCUUCAAGACUUAGUAAGAGAAGUUGAUCCGACGGAACAAUUAGAUGAGGAAGUUGAAGAGAUGCUUCUACAAUUGGCUGAUGACUUUGUUGAAACAACUGUCAAUGCUGCCUGCCUUUUAGCCAAACAUCGGCAUGCUAAUACCGUGGAGGUGAAAGAUGUGCAGCUACAUUUAGAAAGAAAUUGGAGUAUGUGGAUUCCUGGUUUUGGAACUGAUGAAGUUCGUCCUUAUAAACGUGCCACGGUUACUGAAGCUCACAAGCAACGAUUGGCGCUCAUUCGUAAAUCUAUUAAAAAAUACUGAGCGACUAUUCAAACUUAUAAUCUCAUACUAAAUAUCAUACGAAAAUUUCCCAUUGAUGGAAUGUACAUUACGGAGCCCAAAUUCAUGCUGAUGGAAGAGAGUUGACAAUAUCAAGGCAAUUGUUCACUUUAUCAGAUGUUCAUAUUGUGAAUGUUCUUCGAAAAUAAGUUUGUCACAGACAUUUACAAUCGGUCCAACUGGAAAUCCACAUAUUGCUGCAUAUUGUUAGCAAAAUUUUCUGU
rnacentral:misc_RNA from 1 species